rnacentral:lncRNA from 1 species
AACUUUGAAGAGCACCUUCCAAGUUUUGUUUGCAAUACAAGUACAUCACCGAUUUGUUUCAUGCUGUUUAGUCUCAUCAGCUUGACUUCAUUAUUUCCUUGUGUUAUUAUUUUCAUAUACUUCGCGCUCAAAAACAUUUCAUGCCUAAGCAUGGAAAGGUAUAGGUUUUGGUGCAUGUUUUCAUCCUGCAAUUUGCGGACAAGGUUUAAGCCACUUUUCCUCAUAGACUUGACCUUUUUAAAUUGUUUGGCCAGCAUUUCUGAGUCUACCAUUGUUUGAUGUGGACUCCAUGCCCUGUAUUGCCAUUUCAUUAUACCUUAUGAUUGUGAUUGCAUGUCAGCUUGGAACCAUCCGUCUUGUGAUUGCUUUUGAAACAGUGUCCAUCUUGUGAUUGCUUUUGAAACAGUGUUUGUUUAAAAUUCGAGGGGUGAGUUUAAACAAAAGAAUAGCAUCUCAUUGUCAUGAAUCGUGUCUAGUUGCUUGAAGUCUUGGUGUUGCUUGGCUAUAAUACUCUUUACCAAUCUAGGAAGACUUGGAACAGCCCCAAGUUCAAGCUCGGUCUAAGGUGGCCAAAAUGUGAUAUUUUAAACUUCGGAACCGAGGUUUUGAUUUGAUUUUUUGAAUAUCUGGAAAUGGUGGAAGAUGGAAACUUAAUGUAAAAUCAAAAGUAUGUUAGUGCAAUAGACAUCUUUUCAGAAUACAGAACGGUUGAUCAGAGAGAGGAUCACCAUUGAAUUGAACUAGUUUCUGGAAUAAAAAGCCCGGUUACUAUUAGGAUUAAAAGUCAGGUGUGUGCGCAUUGAAUUGAUACUGGUGUUCAUUUUUACUUCUACCUUUUUAAUUCUUGUCCUGUUUUUGUUCUUCGGUCUGUUUUUUUUUUGGUAACCCGGGGUGUCCGGGCCAGCUUACGCGCACCACAACUAAUUCCACUGAACACCCUGCAAGCCCAGUAGGCAGGUAAGACACCGCGGGGGUGACAGGCAUACACGCUGAGGCUCGAACCCAAGUGACAGAGGCAAGGAAACCUUGCCUCUGCCGCUGGGCCACAAGUCUCGGUGCGAUACAUCAGACGGUAACACGCUUGUAUCAUUACAACUCUCUGGGGACACAAUUUGAACAUUUACUUUUGCAUGUGUGGUUGUGGCAGGGUUGGUAAUUACAAGUCCAUUGGCGGGGCUAAAUAGUUAUCUGCAGCUUAUGAAUAUCUAAAAGAAAGUCUCAAACAUUGUUCACAUCUCAGCAGCUUUGAUCACUGCCUCUCCUUGCUCCUAUAAAUCUCUCUCAAUCUUUUGCAGUUGUCUUGCAGCAACAUUUUUGCUUACUUUGUUGAUUAAUUUGUGAUGCCGAAACUCAUUGCAUGAGAGGUCAAAUUCCUAGAAUGUAACAGCGUUGGUUUUUCACUGCAGGAUCUGAUUAUUUGCCUUGUACGUUGAAUUUUUCAGUUGGAUUUGCAACAUUAAUAUUAUUAUGCUCUAUUCGAUACCUUUCUUUUUCUCUUU